CACGUAGGGGGGCAAGCGUUGUCCGGAUUUAUUGGGCGUAAAGAGCUCGUAGGCGGUUCGGUAAGUCGGGUGUGAAACCUCCAGGCUCAACCUGGAGUCGCCACUCGAUACUGCUGUGACUAGAGUCCGGUAGGGGAGCGUGGAAUUCCUGGUGUAGCGGUGAAAUGCGCAGAUAUCAGGAGGAACACCAGCGGCGAAGGCGGCGCUCUGGGCCGGAACUGACGCUGAGGGGCGAAAGCGUGGGGAGCGAACAGG
rnacentral:rRNA from 1 species